rfam:Triticum aestivum genome assembly, contig: Triticum_aestivum_CS42_TGACv1_scaffold_220619_3B
GAUCUACUCCCUUCGUCCGAAAAAAUUUGUCUUUUAAAUGAAUGUAUAUAGCACUGAAUUGAUACUAGAUACAUCCAUUUGAGGGACAAGCUUGAGACAAGCUUUUUCGGAUGGAGGAAGUACAAU